rnacentral:rRNA from 1 species
AGCUCCAAUAGCGUAUAUUAAAGUUGUUGCAGUUAAAAGCUCGUAGUCGAAUUUCAGGGCGGGGUGAUCGGUCUGCCGACCGGUAUGCACUGAUCGCGCCGUCCUUCCUGCUGGAGACCAUGCCUGCACUUGACUGGGCGGGUAUGGGAAACAGCGCGUUUACUUUGAGAAAAUCAGAGUGUUUAAAGCAGGCCAAGAUUGCUCUUGCAUGGAUUAGCAUGGGAUAAUGAAAUAGGACUUUGGUGCUAUUUUGUUGGUUUCGAGUACCGAAGUAAUGAUUAAUAGGGAUAGUCAGGGGCACUUGUAUUCCGUUGAGAGAGGUGAAAUUCUUAGACCAAUGGAAGACAAACUACUGCGAAAGCAUUUGCCAGGGAUGUUUUCA